GACGAACGCUGGCGGCGUGCUUAACACAUGCAAGUCGAACGGAAAGGCCCUGCUUUUGUGGGGUGCUCGAGUGGCGAACGGGUGAGUAACACGUGAGUAACCUGCCCUUGACUUUGGGAUAACUUCAGGAAACUGGGGCUAAUACCGGAUAGGAGCUCCUGCUGCAUGGUGGGGGUUGGAAAGUUUCGGCGGUUGGGGAUGGACUCGCGGCUUAUCAGCUUGUUGGUGGGGUAGUGGCUGACCAAGGCUUUGAGGGGUAGCCGGGCUGAGAGGGUGACCGGCCACAUUGGGACUGAGAUACGGCCCAGACUCCUACGGGAGGCAGCAGUGGGGAAUAUUGCACAAUGGGCGGAAGCCUGAUGCAGCAACGCCGCGUGGGGGAUGACGGCCUUCGGGUUGUAAACCGCUUUCGCCUGUGACGAAGCGUGAGUGACGGUAAUGGGUAAAGAAGCACCGGCUAACUACGUG
rnacentral:rRNA from 1 species